rnacentral:rRNA from 1 species
GAUGAACGCUGGCGGCGUGCUUAACACAUGCAAGUCGAACGGAAAGGCCCAAGCUUGCUUGGGUUCUCGAGUGGCGAACGGGUGAGUAACACGUGGGUGAUCUGCCCUGCACUCCGGGAUAAGCCUGGGAAACUGGGUCUAAUACCGGAUAGGACCACAUUUUGGAUGGUGUGGUGGAAAGUUUUUCGGUGUGGGAUGAGCUCGCGGCGUAUCAGCUUGUUGGUGGGGUAAUGGCCUACCGAGGCGUCGACGGGUAGCCGGCCUGAGAGGGUGUACGGCCACACUGGGACCGACGGACGGCCCAGGUACCGACGGGUGGGAGAAGUGGGGAAGAUUGACCGAUGGGCGCAAGCCUGAUGCAGAGACGCCUCGUGGGGGAAGACGGCCUUCGGGUUGAAAACCCCUUUCGCUAGGAACGGAGAGUUGUGUGACGGUACCUGGACAAGAAGCACCGGCUAACUACGUG